ACCUACGGGGGGUAGCAGUAGGGAAUUUUCGUCAAUGGGCGCAAGCCUGAACGAACAAUGCCGCGUGAACGAGGAAGGUCUUCGGAUCGUAAAGUUCUGUUGAAGGGGAAAAAGAGCGGAGAGAGGAAAUGAACUCCGAUUGAUAUUACCCUUCGAGGAAGUCACGGCUAACUACGUGCCAGCAGCCGCGGUAAUACGUAGGUGGCGAGCGUUAUCCGGAAUGAUUGGGCGUAAAGGGGGCGUAGGCGGCCUGCUAAGUCUGGAGUGAAAGGUACGGGCUCAACCGGUACAGGCUCUGGAAACUG
rnacentral:rRNA from 1 species